CUGGAAGCUUCAACUCCGAGAGUGGAAAAUGGCAGUCGACAGACUGUCAGCUCUGCCCAGCUGGAUACUUCUGCACUGGGGAGGAACUGAAGCAACAGGGAGGAAAUGACUGAGCUCACAUGAGUCUGUACCAGAGCUGGGACCGCAUCAGAGAGCCUCAGAAACACAGUUGAGCAUUUUAUUUGGAAGGUUCUGGAGCACGUACUCGUGAGCUGUGUCCUGCUGGGUACUUCUGUCUGCCAGGUACCAACUUCAGUACAGAGCAUCUGUGUCCCAAGGGUACCUUUGGCCCCAGGACUGGUGCCACUGGUGAGUCUGACUGGGAGCCCUGCCCAGCAGGUGAGUGGGGGCUUGGCACAAGAAACCCAGGGGGACAUACAUGGGAAGGUUGGGGAAAAUAUGACUUCUUCCUUCAUCUUAUUGACUCCUCUGCUGAUCUUCUGUGCAGGCCCUCACACUGAGAUAGCUUUUCUGUUCGUUUUAGGCAUGUAUUGCUCAGCACCAGGUCUGCCACAGCCUUCUGGAUUUUGCCAUUCAGGUUAUCGUUGUGCCAAGGGAGCCAUCAGCCCAGCUCCCUUCAAACCCAGGAUGAGUGAGUGCCAGGGGGCAGCACGGCAUUCCUAGUGACUCCUGGGAACAAGGACUGGACCUUCACAACCUUGUAGCUCCUGGUGUAACGUUUUCCCAGCAUUACUGCUCUGUAUGGGGCUGCUCAUGUCUUUUACUGCUGCCCUAGAGAGCUCCUCAAAUGUGAUGACAUGCUGCUCUUAAUGUCUGAUGGAAUAUGUUGCUGCCUACUAAUAAAUUCUGGCCAGACCUCCA
rnacentral:lncRNA from 1 species